GACGAACGCUGGCGGCGUGCUUAACACAUGCAAGUCGAGCGGUAAGGCCCUUUCGGGGGUACACGAGCGGCGAACGGGUGAGUAACACGUGGGUGACCUGCCCUCAGCUCUGGGAUAAGCCCGGGAAACUGGGUCUAAUACCGGAUAUGACUCCAUGACGCAUGUUGUGGGGUGGAAAGCCUUGUGCGGCUGAGGAUGGGCCCGCGGCCUAUCAGCUUGUUGGUGGGGUGAUGGCCACCAAGGCGACGACGGGUAGCCGGCCUGAGAGGGCGACCGGCCACACUGGGACUGAGAUACGGCCCAGACUCCUACGGGAGGCAGCAGUGGGGAAUCUUGCGCAAUGGGCGAAAGCCUGACGCAGCGACGCCGCGUGGGGAUGACGGCC
rnacentral:rRNA from 1 species